AACGUGAAUCGCUGGAGUCUGCGGAGAGAGUUGACGUAACCCGGUAGCUAAGUUGUUCUUCGGAGCGAUGGUGCUGCUUAUGGUUGCAUUGGUGGCGUUGGUUAGCAACGACAGCUGCGUAGUUUAGCCCACUUCGGUGGUGUCUAGCUUGUGGUCUUGUUGUUGUCGGCUAGCGUGUAAGCCCUGUUCACAGGGUGCCAAUGUCCUAUUCGACCACCUUUCUAACCCGUUUUAAA
rnacentral:rRNA from 1 species